rnacentral:lncRNA from 10 species
AGCGGCCUCCCAAAGUGCUGGGAUUGCUGGCAUGCACCGGUCACCACAUCGGGCUAAUUUUUGCAUUUUUUUUUUUUUUUUUUUUUGAGACGGAGUCUCGCUCUGUCGCCCAGGCUGGAGUGCAGUGGCGGGAUCUCGGCUCACUGCAAGCUCCGCCUCCCGGGUUCACGCCAUUCUCCUGCCUCAGCCUCCCAAGUAGCUGGGACUACAGGCGCCC